rnacentral:misc_RNA from 1 species
UUUCCGUAGGUGAACCUGCGGAAGGAUCAUUCCCAAUAAGUGUUUUAUGUCACUUUUUGAACAAUCCAUAUCCACCUUGUGUGCAAAGGUAUGAGACCGUCUAUUGUUAUCUUUUAUGUUACAGAAUAGGUAACCGCUACAAGUUACCAACCUCAAUUUUAACUUAUUUGUCUGAACAUUUGUUAUCAUGAAUUAACUUAAUUCGAAAAUACAACUUUCAACAACGGAUCUCUUGGCUCUC